GAGACCAGAUGAGCCAGUUUAUCAAUCUGGAUGGUGCCUCUCAAGGGCUGGGGCUGCAAAACAUCUCAGAGUUUGACUCUUUGCUUCGACACUACCGUCUGCAAGUUCUUGUGCUAGCCGCUGUGGGAAAGACACAGCUGAGUCAGACAUGAUCCCUGCCCUCAAGGAGCUUGUGACACCACAGUGAAGACAAGUCUAUUUUGGUGCUGAAGGGAAACAGAUGAAGAACAUGACCUCAAGGAGCUUCCUGUCAAUGAGAAGACCAAGCUGACGCCUGGCAAAGGAGAAAUCCACCCUUCUCAACUCUACUUUGUAAUGCUGGAGGUUAUUCAUGCCUCUUGCAAACCACGUUUCUGCUUAAACUCUGCCAAUAAAGGGCACUGGAGGGAGACAGCCGGCUGGAGGAGGGACUUCCUGUUUGCUUCCUAUCUGCUUCCUGGUUCUAUAUUAAAGAGGAGCCUGAAACUGUUCCUUGGACAUCUUAUGAAUGUCAGAAAAUACCUUUUGGAGGGUUAGAAGAUCAGGGGACAUGGUUGUUCACAUUUGCUGCCACGGAACACCG
rnacentral:lncRNA from 10 species